CCUGUUCCUUUCUCCCAAAAUCUUCACACCUCGAUCUCUCCUUAUUCCCCAAAAUACCCCCGUGAAAGAAGGAAAAUCACAAUGGAACCCAGCAAAUCCGACCUCCAGAUCUUCCUCCAAUCCACCGUCCAUCAAUUCCCUUCCCGUUUCCUCUCGGUGGGCCCCACCGUCUCCCUGCCCCACUUCCUCCUCUCCCUCUCUCCCUCCCUCCCCCCUUCUUCUUCCCCCUUCCUCUCCUUCAAUGGGAAACUCCUACCGUACUCCUCCGCACCACUCCAUUCCCUGCUCCCACCCUCCUCUACCCAAACGCAAACCCUAACCCUAACCCUCCACCUCCGCCUCCCCGGCGGCGGCGGCGAUGGCGGUGCCACCGGCGCUGAAUCCCGAGACUGCUACCUCAACAUGUACGCCGAGAAGAAGCCCGACAAGGUGGACCCCAACGAGGCCAGGCUGUCGAGAUGGAUGGCUUGCGCCCUCUCGUCCGAGCCCCUCCGAAGGCCCGCUGUCGUUGACCGCCUUGGCAAUCUCUUCAACAAGGAGGCCCUCGUCGAGGCCCUUCUCUCCAAGAAACUCCCAAGGGGGUUUGGGCACAUCAGGGGUCUGAAGGACAUGAUCCCGAUCGAGCUCUCGCUGAUCUCAGGCCAGGAGUCCGAUGAACGCAUCAGCUUUGACACGAGGUUCCAGUGCCCGAUCACGGGCCUUGAAUUCAAUGGAAAGUAUAGGUUCUACGCCCUCCGCGGGUGUGGACAUGUCUUGAGCGCAAAGGCAUUGAAGGAGGUUAAGACGUCGGCGUGCCUUGUCUGCCACCGUGAGUUCUCGGAGUUGGAUAUGAUCGUGAUAAAUCCGAGUGGGGAAGAGGCUGCAGCAUUGAGGGAGAGAUUGGAAGAGGAGAGGGUAAAAUUGGGGAAGAAAAAGGAGAAGAAGGCAAGGAAUGGGGAGACGGUUGGUGGGUCUGAAACCGUUUGUUCAGAUUUGGCUCAGUUGAGUGGAACGAAGCAUGGGGUGGAUGAAAAGGGCGGGGCCUUGCUGAUGGCAACAGGGGUUAAAGAUGAAGAAAAAGGGAAGAAGAAUUUGAAUUUGGGGAAGGCAGGAAAUGGGGUGAGUGCGAAACGGUUCAAAGCCACGGAUAUAGUGCCUGCAAAUGCUACGAAAGAAGUGUAUGCUUCGAUUUUCACAUCAUCGAAGAAAAAGGAGUUUAAAGAGACCUACAUGUGUAGGUCUCUUCCACUCGGCAGAAAUUGAUGGUAAGGGUGGAUUGACGAUGCCGCUAGUGGACUCCUCUUGAUCACAUAUUCGGGUUCUAAAUGGUCACACAUGUGAUCCUAUGUGGGGCGCACGUGAGAGGAGUUAAUAUAGUUGUUAUUCUUGGAAAUGAAGAAGUUAGACUGGGCUGAGAAAUCAUCAGAUAGAGCAGUGACCUCCCUCUUCUCAGUGGUUCUGAUGAACCCGAGAUAUAAUCUCCUCAAAGGUUGAGAUAUGCUGGAAUUCAUGUGAUUGGCGGAGGACAUGCUCAUUUAGGUUUGGAUUGGAACCGUUUGAUGGUAUGGUUGGAAUCAUUGGUUUGCUUCCAGUUGUGAAUGAAGAGCAUAUGUUGACGGACAGGAAUUCAGAACAUUUCUGGGCUGCUUGUUUCACAUGGAAUGUUUGGUCAUGUAUAAAAAAAAAAAGAAGCAGCAAAUGUUGUAUAUUCAGUGGAAUAUUGGCCUGAUAUUUAUUUCCAUUGAUUUUUCCAUGACUGCAAUGACA